rnacentral:sRNA from 1 species
AGGGGAAUGAUACCGAGAAUCGAACCAUGCUUGCAUGGGUGAGAUUCUCAGUAUCAAUGACCCGCAAAAACAUGAGCAAGAGUGAUUUUUGAAAAAAAUCACAGGAUUGCGAAUGUUUUUAGGAUUGCGAAAAUUGCGUAGCAAUGAAGCAAUCCGUUU